rnacentral:rRNA from 1 species
UCUCCCUACGGGAGGCAGCAGUGGGGAAUAUUGCACAAUGGGGGAAACCCUGAUGCAGCAACGCCGCGUGAGUGAAGACGUAUUUCGGUAUGUAAAGCUCUAUCAGCAGGGAAGAAAAUGACGGUACCUGAGUAAGAAGCCCCGGCUAACUACGUGCCAGCAGCCGCGGUAAUACGUAGGGGGCAAGCGUUAUCCGGAUUUACUGGGUGUAAAGGGAGCUUAGUCGGCGAUGCAGGUCUGAAGUGAAAGCCCG